rnacentral:rRNA from 1 species
GAUGAACGCUAGCGGCAGGCUUAAUACAUGCAAGUCGAGGGGCAUCAAGGUACACGAAAGUGUAUUGUUGGCGACCGGCGGACGGGUGAGUAAUAGGUAGGUAACCUACCUCAUACUGAGGCAUAGCUGGGAGAAAUUCCAGGUAAUUCCUCAUGAGGUUAUAUGACACAUGUGAUAUAAUCAAAGGUAUCGCAAGGUACUGGUAUGAGAUGGGCUUACUGACCAUUAGCUAGUUGGUGAGAUAAGAGCUCACCAAGGCGAAGAUGGUUAGGGGUUUUGAGAGAGAGAUCCCCCACAUUGGAACUGAGAUACGGCCCAGACUCCUACGGGAGGCAGCAGUUGGGAAUCUUAGGCAAUGGACGAAAGUCUGACCCAGCCAUGCCGCGUGAAGGAAGACGGCCUUAGGGUUGUAAACUUCUUUACUAUGCGACUAACUAGAUUUACGGAGAUAAUUCUAUAGAAUGUAGCAUAGCAAAAGCACCGGA